UCAUGUAAGCAGCAAAACCAUAGAUCAUGAUCAAGGAGUCCAAAAUCGGAGUGGCACAAAGCCAGAGAUUCUAUCGAACAUAUGUGAAUUACUAUGCUUUUGUGUCCUCCACCACCCAUACCGGAUAAAGUAUUUCCUUGUUGCUGUGUGUUAUCAGAAUUGACUUUUUGAGUUCUUGUUGCUGAUCUUUUGAAAUUUGAAAAGGGGUUUCUCAUGACUGUUUUCCGGUGCAACUUCCUUCUGACUAAUGUGAUUGAAAAGAUUUUGUUACUGACACGGAGAAGGGAAAAAUAUCUCGUUGCUGGUGCUGUUCGGUUUGUUCGUAUUAUUCUUUCACGUCAUGUAAGUUUAUUUGUUUGUU
rnacentral:lncRNA from 1 species